CGAUAUUCAAAAUGUCUAUUUCGAAAAGACGUAUGCCACGUCAUUUCUUUACCAAACAAGGCGGCAGACCUUCCAGGGGAUGUUAUAGAUGGGCAAACAUUCUGUAAGGAAUACUACAGGGAACCCAGAUACUCCAACUCCACUUAUAUAAAGCUUCAAUCCGACCUAGAGCAGUGCGUAUUUCGCUGCUUGGUACACGAUACUUACAGCCAUGCGAAGAUGCAGAACCGCACGUCUUUUGCAAUAGAUGGGACACCCUGCUCUGAAACUGAACCACAAAAGAUAUGCCACAACAUGGUCUGUGUCAAGCCCUAGUAAAAUAGUGGACGUUUCUGAAAGAACAAACGUGCAGUUUGCACUUCACCAAGCAGAUUGCCACCCCCUGUAGCCUUUAGCCAAGCAGAUUGCCACUCCCUGUUCGGAAUAAUGGUGUUUUUUGUAUAAAAAA
rnacentral:lncRNA from 1 species